UGAUAGAUUAUCGAGGGACAGUUGUGC
rnacentral:sRNA from 1 species